rnacentral:rRNA from 1 species
AGGGUUUGAUCCUGGCUCAGGAUGAACGCUAGCGGCAGGCCUUACACAUGCAAGUCGAGGGGUAACAGGAGAAAGCUUGCUUUCUCGCUGACGACCGGCGCACGGGUGCGUAACACGUAUGCAACCUACCUCUUACUGGGGGAUAGCCCAGAGAAAUUUGGAUUAACACCCCAUAGUAUCACCAGUUCGCAUGUUCAGGUGAUUAAAGGUUACGGUAAGAGAUGGGCAUGCGCCCCAUUAGCUAGUUGGUGAGGUAACGGCUCACCAAGGCUACGAUGGGUAGGGGGUCUGAGAGGACUAUCCCCCACACUGGUACUGAGACACGGACCAGACUCCUACGGGAGGCAGCAGUGAGGAAUAUUGCGCAAUGGACGAAAGUCUGACGCAGCCAUGCCGCGUGCAGGAUGACGGCGCUAUGCGUUGUAAACUGCUUUUAUAUGCCAAGAAACCUUCGGACGUGUCCGAAGCUGACGGUAGCAUAUGAAUAAGCACCGGCUAACUCCGUGCCAGCCGCCGCGGUAAUA